AGAGUUUGAUCCUGGCUCAGGAUGAACGCUGGCGGCGUGCCUAACACAUGCAAGUCGAACGAAGCGAUUUUUUGGAAGUUUUCGGAUGGAAGAAGGAUUGACUGAGUGGCGGACGGGUGAGUAACGCGUGGGUAACCUGCCUCAUACAGGGGGAUAACAGUUAGAAAUGACUGCUAAUACCGCAUAAGCGCACGGGACCGCAUGGUCCGGUGUGAAAAACUCCGGUGGUAUGAGAUGGACCCGCGUCUGAUUAGGUAGUUGGCGGGGUAACGGCCCACCAAGCCGACGAUCAGUAGCCGACCUGAGAGGGUGACCGGCCACAUUGGGACUGAGACACGGCCCAAACUCCUACGGGAGGCAGCAGUGGGGGAUAUUGCACAAUGGGGGAAACCUUGAUGCAGCGACGCCGCGUGAGUGAAGAAGUAUUUCGGUAUGUAAAGCUCUAUCAGCAGGGAAGAGGAAGACGGUACCUGACUAAGAAGCCCCGGCUAACUACGUGCCAGCAGCCGCGGUAAAACGUAGGGGGCAAGCGUUAUCCGGAUUUACUGGGUGUAAAGGGAGCGUAGACGGCGAUACAAGUCUGAAGUGAAAGCCCCGGGCUCAACCCGGGAACUGCUUUGGAAACUGCAUGGCUGGAGUGCUGGAGAGGUAAGCGGAAUUCCUAGUGUAGCGGUGAAAUGCGUAGAUAUUAGGAGGAACACCAGUGGCGAAGGCGGCUUACUGGACAGUAACUGACGUUGAGGCUCGAAAGCGUGGGGAGCAAACAGGAUUAGAUACCCUGGUAGUCCACGCGGUAAACG
rnacentral:rRNA from 1 species